rnacentral:rRNA from 1 species
AUACGGAGGGUGCGAGCGUUGUUCGGAUUUAUUGGGCGUAAAGAGCGCGUAGGCGGCUUGGUAAGUCAGAUGUGAAAGCCCGGGGCUCAACCCCGGAAGUGCAUUUGAAACUAUCAGGCUUGAGUAUGGGAGAGGGAAGUGGAAUUCCUGGUGUAGAGGUGAAAUUCGUAGAUAUCAGGAGGAACACCGGUGGCGAAGGCGACUUCCUGGACCAAUACUGACGCUGAGGCGCGAAGGCGUGGGGAGCAAACAGGAUUAGAAACCCCAGUAGUCC